rnacentral:rRNA from 1 species
GAUGAACGCUGGCGGCGUGCCUAAUACAUGCAAGUCGAGCGAACGGACGAGAAGCUUGCUUCUCUGAUGUUAGCGGCGGACGGGUGAGUAACACGUGGAUAACCUACCUAUAAGACUGGGAUAACUUCGGGAAACCGGAGCUAAUACCGGAUAAUAUUUUGAACCGCAUGGUUCAAAAGUGAAAGACGGUCUUGCUGUCACUUAUAGAUGGAUCCGCGCUGCAUUAGCUAGUUGGUAAGGUAACGGCUUACCAAGGCAACGAUGCAUAGCCGACCUGAGAGGGUGAUCGACCACACUGGAACUGAGCCACGGUCCAGACUCCUACGGGAGGCAGCAGUAGGGAAUCUUCCGCAAUUGGCGAAAGCCUGACGGAACAACGCCGCGUGAGUGAUGAAGGUCUUCGGAUCGUAAAACUCUGUUAUUAGGGAAGAACAUAUGUGUAAGUAACAGUGCACAUCUUGACGGUACCUAAUCAGAAAGCCACGGCUAACUACGUG